GAUCAAUAGCAUUGACUUAAUGUCUAUGCUUACCAGCCUAUACAAGUGCAGAGACAGUCCAUCUCUAUGUCCUCCAUUCCCUGUUUAAGGUUUUCGAUAUUAUAGAAGCCCAAGUGUUUUAAGCUGCUGAACAUGCUCCGGGGGAAGGGGUGGGGGAGACCAAUCAGAUCCCGUCAUCUCAUUGUCAACAUCCUCCACAACAUAUUC
rnacentral:lncRNA from 1 species